CUCUUUCCUCUCAUUUUCAAUUUUCUACUUUUUUAUAUUUUUCCUUUUAUGUUUAUAAUUUUUCGUAAAAAUAUUUGGAGGCUGCUGAAAUAUUCUACCAGUAAUAUUUGACAAGGGAGCUCUUCCGUCCUGGAUCCCAGAGGAUGAGAAAAUCCGACAGUAGUCAUUAUGGUAAAGGCAAGACCAUCAUGCAAGAGGUAGAGAGACACGAUGGUCAGGGGCAGGAGACAAAGGGGAAAAAUUUAGAACCUGCACCAGAUGAAGAGUAUGCACGACAGCAGCUUCAAAACCACAAUCAACGCCAAGGUUGCGAUGUUCAGGUUGAAGAUCGAUUUGGAAACAGAAAAUUGCGUCAUUUGUAUGGGAAGGAGAAUUCAUUUUGAUAGAGCGUAAUGAAUAUGGCCAUCCAGAUAAUGAAUCAAGCGGAUUGUUGGGAUGUUUCAUUGCAACUAUUGCAAAAAAUCCUAGGAUAUGUUCUAUUGGAUUUGAUCGGUGGUCAAAGUUUCCAAAAAGAAAGAAGGAUGAAGUUUUUAAAAAUAUCCUUAAGAUGAGGUUGAAAAAUGGUGCCUAAAAAAGAUGGGAUAUGGUUGGAGACAAGGAAGAUUGGACCUGUGGAGUUUAUAUCAAGAUGGAACUAAGACAAGGCGGCAACUGCUAGCAGAUCCUCCAAAGAACAUCCCAAUCGAGGAUUGGGAAAAAUUAGUGGAUUAUUUUUUAAAUCCCAAAGUAAGGAGACAGCAAAAUCCAACAAGAAGCAUAAAGCACAUCAGGUUAUUUUCUACCCCGGAAGAUCAGAAAUGAAUACCAGAAAAAAUAAGGAGCUGGAUAAAAUGUGUGAGAACCAAUCUCAAGUGGGCUCAUGUGAUGAAGAAGCAGCGGAUAACAUGUCAUAUGAAAUAUUUACACAAAUUGUGGGCUCAAGGUGAACGUGUUUGUGGUUUGGGCAUAGGUCCUACCUCAUUUAUAAUGACUAGUUCUGCUUCUCGAGUUUCUGGAUCAAAUUCUGCUACAAGAUAUGCCCCAAAUGUGAGGAUGGCGCAAUUGGAACAGGAGAACUUGCGCAACAGAGAAAUGAUUGCGAGAAUGCAACAAAGGAAAGACCAAAUGCAAAGUCAAAUUGACCAGUUGUGGAAUUAUAUCAAGCAAACAGGUGGUCAACCAUCUAAUCUGUUCCACGGUGAUCAUGGGCGAUGAGUAUCUUGUGUGUUGCUAUGAGGAAGAGGAUGUUUUUUGUAUGAUUUGAAGACUCUCAUUUAAACUUUGUGUGGCUAUUAUUAUUGCUUUUGUGAACUUAA